rnacentral:lncRNA from 1 species
CUCCAUUUUACAUCUUUCACUCUUUCUCAGCCCAAAGGGAAGUCCCUUUCUUCUCUGACUCCAAACCAGAAGAGGUUUAGAGGGCUUGCUUCAUGUGCCAGGCCAUGGAACUGGGUGCUGAACAACCCCAAACGGAAGAUGCUCGGGACAGACGGAAACCCUUUUAGGGGUCUUGCUAUAUAGUUCAGGCUGGACUUGAACUUACUAUGUAGCCCAGGGUUGCCUUGACCUCUUGCCAAUCCUCCUGCCUCAGCCUUCGGAACCCUGGGAUUACAGUGGCCACCUAGAGGCAGAUGGAGAACUUGGAGAUUUCUGCCUCUUGGAAAAAAAUUUUCAUUUCCUCACUCGACCCAAGGGCCAGCUUGGAAGCAGGCAUGCAUGUGAUCAGAGGACAGUCCCUCCCCAGCGAGACAGGAAAUCCUGAGAGUCUUGCUGUGGUGAGAAAGCUGAUGCCGAUAGGAAAAGACACACUGAGCACAAGAGGAACCUAAGAGAAGACGAACCUGCAGCAAAGCAUUCGGGUUCCUCUGAGGACUGGGAAGGCCAAGCUCAGUGCCAUCCACGGUACAGCAAAUUCCAAUGCUCACCUCAUGCUUGAGUUUUGGGGUACAAGAGGUGUAAGGAGAAGAAGAGGAGG